ensembl:lncRNA
AUGCGCGCAAUGCCCGAGGGGAUACUGUCACAGUUAAUUGGCUGACCCUGGGGAUGGCAGUCAGACGUGGGAGGUAAAAAGAGCCCGCUCAGACAGUCCGGCCUCGGACACACAGCUUCCCGUCACUCAGACCACUGCAGGUAACACGCUUCCUCACAGCGGGAUCGCCGAGCUCCGAUUCACAGAUGGAGGCAGAGAUUCAGCAGAUCCUGGUCCAGGUGUCGGAGCUGCAGCACCAAAGGAAAGUUCACUUCCUGCUUCAAAAAAUCCGAUCUGCUCCCCAAAUCUGAAGGCCUACACACACCGCCAAAGAAACACCACAAAAUCCUGAAUUUUCUGGUUCUGAACUGGCCGUGCAACUCGUAC